UUAAACACCCUUGGGAUUCCCAAAGGGGUAAGUGUCUUUUCAUGGUAAUGAGAUGACUGGCAACUGCGGAAUGCUGGGCAUGCUCAUGACAGGGGCUAGUUGCCAAGGGCACUAACCAUGUGAUUACAGGAUGGGAAUUUUCAGUCCACCUCCAACCUCCAGGGAAAGAAGAGGCAGAACGUUGAGUUUAUAACCAAUGCCAAUUAUGUAAUCAAUCAUGCCCCUGGAAUUAAGACAGUAUCCAUAAAAAAAUCAAAAGGAUAGAGUUCAUUCAAACUGCUCUGUUGCUUAAUAUGGAAGAGAUUGAAACUUAUUAUGGUACAGAACCUGCCAACAAACAGAUGAAGACACCUGUCCUGAUCUGCAUGUGGAGUCAUAAGCAGUGAUUUUCUGACUUGGCAGCGAUCCUUCAAGUUGACAUUUCCAGCACCACCUAGAGGACCAGGAAAUUCCAUCAGGCUGGCAGCGCCAGAGGUGGGCCUGAUCAAGUCCCUCUUGGCAAAUUUUUAUUCAAGAAAUAAGGGAAAAUGGAGGACCCUGGGCAUAAGUCCCAAAAUACUAUAGAGAAUUUUUUGGAAGUAAUGCUGGUUUCCAAAUAUACACAGUUUUCAAGCUUUGAUUUAUUUGGACCUAGAAGAAAAUUGAAAGAAACGAAGCAAUCCAAUAAGGACAGUCUUACUUUACAACUACACUACCUACACAGAAAAAAGAGGGGGCUUGAGGAAAUGAAUUCCAUGAUCCAAGCCCCUCCCCUCUAGGAACACUGGUUUCCUUCAUUUUAUGGGUAUUUCAAGUGGAAGAUUUUGAGCCUAAACAAUGAGAUCCCAAGAUAACUUCUACUUUUCCUCCUAUUCAUGACUGCAAAGCCUUCCUCUCCCUCCCUCCUUUUCUUCCUUCCUUCCUUCCUUCCUUCCUUCCUUCCUUCCUUCCUUCCUUCCUUCCUCCCUCCCUCCUUCCCUCCCUCCCUCACUCCC